AUUGAACGCUGGCGGCGUGCUUAACACAUGCAAGUCGAUCGGUAACAGGUGUAGCAAUACAUGCUGACGAGAGGCGGACGGGUGAGUAAUGCUUGGGAAUCUGCCUAUUAGUGGGGGACAACCCGGGGAAACUCGGGCUAAUACCGCAUACGCUCUACGGAGGAAAGCCGGGGACCGCAAGGCCUGGCGCUAAUAGAUGAGCCCAAGUCGGAUUAGCUAGGUUGGUAGGAACGGCCUACCAAGGCGACAAUCCGUAGCCUGGUCUGAGAGGACGACCAGCCACACCGGAACUGAGACACGGUCCGGACUCCUACGGGAGGCAGCAGUGGGGAAUAUUGGACAAUGGGGGCAACCCUGAUCCAGCGACGCCGCGUGGGUGAAGAAGGCCUGCGGGUUGUAAAGCCCUUUCGGUGGGAAGAAAAGUCUCGAACCUAAUACGUCGGGACCUUGACGUAACCACUAAAGAAGCACCGGCUAAACUCUGUGCCAGCCGCCGCGGUAAC
rnacentral:rRNA from 1 species